GUAGGUGGCAAGCGUUGUCCGGAAUUAUUGGGCGUAAAGCGCGCGCAGGCGGUUCUUUAAGUCUGAUGUGAAAGCCCACGGCUCAACCGUGGAGGGUCAUUGGAAACUGGAGAACUUAAGUACAGAAGAGGAAAGCGGAAUUCCACGUGUAGCGGUGAAAUGCGUAGAGAUGUGGAGGAACACCAGUGGCGAAGGCGGCUUUCUGGUCUGUAACUGACGCUGAGGCGCGAAAGCGUGGGGAGCAAACAGGGAUUAGAUACCCUGGUAGUCCACGCCGUAAACGAUGAGUGCUAAGUGUUAGGGGGUUUCCGCCCCCUUAGUGCUGCAGCUAACGCAUUAAGCACUCCGCCUGGGGAGUACGGCCGCAAGGCUG
rnacentral:rRNA from 1 species